GUGAUAUGUCUGGACUGCUGAUGGAGGGAUACUACUGACGUAGCUAUACCGAUACGUCGCAGACAAGAGGGGACUCGGGCUCUGCAUCAGAUGUGCCCAGAUGGGAUUAGCUAGUAGGUGGGGUACGGCCACCUAGCGAAGAUCCUACUGGCUGAAAGGAUGACCACCACACUGACUGAAACACGGUCCAAACUCCUACGGAGGCACAUGGGGAAUAUUGCCAAUGGGCGCAAGCCUGAUGCAGCCAUGCCGCGUGUAUGAAGAAGGCCUUCGGGUUGUAAAGUACUUUCAGCGGGGAGGAAGGUGUUGUGGUUAAUAACCACAGCAAUUGACGUUACCCGCAAAAAGCACCGGCUAACUCCGUGCCAGCAGCCGCGGUAAUACGGAGGGUGCAAGCGUUAAUCGGAAUUACUGGGCGUAAAGCGCACGCAGGCGGUCUGUCAAGUCGGAUGUGAAAUCCCCGGGCUCAACCUGGGAACUGCAUUCGAAACUGGCAGGCUANAGUCUUGUAGAGGGGGGUAGAAUUCCAGGUGUAGCGGUGAAAUGCGUAAGAUCUGGAGGAAUACCGGUGGCGAAGGCGGCCCCCUGGACAAAGACUGA
rnacentral:rRNA from 1 species